AUGAAAGAACUCAUGGGAGGUAACUGUCUCAGGGUAUUAGUACUAAAUUAGUAAGUAAGUGAAAAUACUUACGAGAGAAAAUAGACGAGAAGACCCUAGAAGCUUGCUAUUUGUUUUGUUGGGGCGACAGAAUUGCAUUAAACCAAUUUUAUAGAUGUGACGUAGGAGCAGGAAAAUUAAGCUACUCUAGGGAUAACAGCAUAAUAAAAUUUGUUUGUGACCUCGAUGUUGGACUAGGUAGAAUAGUCCUUAGAAGGGACUAAAAAUGCUCUGCUCGAGCAGAUUAACCUACA
rnacentral:rRNA from 1 species